UACGUAGGUGGCAAGCGUUGUCCGGAUUUAUUGGGUUUAAAGGGUGCGUAGGCGGCCUUAUAAGUCAGUGCUGAAAUAUCCCGGCUUAACUGGAGGGGUGCCAUUGAUACUGCAGGGCUUGAGUGGAGUCGAAGUAGGCGGAAUUGACGGUGUAGCGGUGAAAUGCUUAGAUAUCGUCAAGAACGCCGAUAGUGAAGACAGCUUACUAGGCUUCUACUGACGCUGAGGCACGAAAGUGUGGGGAUCAAACAGG
rnacentral:rRNA from 1 species